UCUGGUGCCAAUUUGGAAACGUUGCCCGGUAUAUCAGCAGUCUUGAAUCUUCUGUGUCAAGAGUUUCGUAAGUGCCUGUUGUCUUGAUUGCAACGGAAGUACAAAAAUGAGCUGAAACAGAAAUAAAUUCAAGAAUUUUGAAGAAAAGCAGCAGCUGAUCUUACGUCCUUGCGUGUGCAGAAGCAACGGAAGGGAAGGAAGAGCUCCUUGGCUUGGUUAUCAAGUGCAACCUUGCCGCCAUCA